rnacentral:rRNA from 1 species
CGUGAGCGGCGGACGGGUGAGUAACGCGUGGGUAACCUGCCUCAUACAGGGGGAUAACAGUUGGAAACGGCUGCUAAUACCGCAUAAGCGCACAGUACCGCAUGGUACGGUGUGAAAAACUCCGGUGGUAUGAGAUGGACCCGCGUCUGAUUAGGUAGUUGGUGGGGUAACGGCCUACCAAGCCGACGAUCAGUAGCCGACCUGAGAGGGUGACCGGCCGCAUUGGGACUGAGACACGGCCCAA